UACAGAGACUGCAAGCGUUAUUCGGAUUCACUGGGCGUAAAGGGUGCGCAGGCGGUCGGGUGUGUCAGAUGUGAAAUCCCGAGGCUCAACCUCGGAACUGCGUCUGAAACUACUCGACUAGAGUACUGGAGAGGGUAACGGAAUUCACGGUGUAGUAGUGAAAUGCGUAGAUAUCGUGAGGAACACCAGAGGCGAAGGCGGUUACCUGGACAGUUACUGACGCUCAGGCACGAAAGCAUGGGGAGCAAAAGGG
rnacentral:rRNA from 1 species